GGAGGCUCCUCCCGGACAGACAGACAGACAGACGGACGGACACGCGGCCGGACUGGCGCGCGGCCCGAGGGCCCUCGCGGCGCGCGCGAGCGGCGGUUGCGCACGCGGCCCCUCGCGGCCCCUCACGGCCCAGCCCCGCCCCACGGGGGGUUUACGGUACAAAACCAACGCACAAGUGUUCGAAUGCCAUGGUUUUAAAAACAUUGCCUCAAUUAAGGAACAUGGCUUUUACUGUGCUGACAUAUGGUACGAUGAUUUUAAGCUGAGACAGAAACUAUCAGGGGUAGGAGCCGGAGUUAAUAUGGCUCAUUUCUGAAUCACUUUUCUUCAGGCUGCAGUUCUGCUGGAGUAUUUCAGCUUCCCUGGAGAAGAAUCCUUACUCGAAAGGACAACAACAGUUUGCAAGCCCCUGCAGUGAGGAUGUAGGGCCCAAGCACCUUCGACUCCAUUGCUGUUGGUUGGAUGGCUGCAAAGAAUUCAGUGUUCAUUGAAGCACAGAAAGUCACUGGCUGAUGGAAAGCCAGGCUGGAUAAACUGCUUUAUUCGAAGAAUUGAUGUAAAUCAAAUGCUUGUUGCAGCUCUGAGGAGUACCUUUAAAUAUGGCUGGCCCACAUAACUUGCAGUCUCCAGCUCUUCUUAAGUAGACACUGUAAAGAGUAGGAAUUAAAACGUUAAGAAUAA